GGUCUUGUGGUCUAGUGGUAUGAUUCGCGCUUAGGGUGCGCGAGGCCCCGUGUUCGAUCCACGGCAAGACCC
rnacentral:tRNA from 1 species